UAAAAAUUAGUUAAAAUAUAACAUUAGAAUGUCAAACUAAAAUUAUUAAACCAUUAAUAUUUUUAA
rnacentral:tRNA from 1 species